GAACAUGGGCAUAAAUCUGAUAGAUUUGUAGACGAGGGACAGCUGCGCGCGUUUGCUUUUUAAAUUUUGUAUUUUUCAAAUUUGAAGAUGGAUUACCUACCAAAUGAAUUGUAAACCUUUUUAGAAUAUGUACUCCUUAUCUUUGCAACCUUGAACAUAUUAACUUGUAUAUCGUAAAUUUGGGUGGCGUGUUUUUCCGAUUUUUGAAUUGUAAAGCGACGGUACGGGGAGACUCGAGCGCGCCAGCCUAAGUUUUUUAGUCUUCUACUGACCGCCACCGCUUUCACAUCGUUAACUUUCAAAUCCGCCCCUCUGGCACCUUGAAUUAGAAUUUUCAUUGUAAUCAAACAUAUUGGAUAAUAAACACUUGAGAUUCAUAGAUUGUAAAGCAAAUUAUAUCUCUUUUCGUUACGCAUUUACAUGCAUACGUUUUAUGCAAGUGCACUCUGCACGUACGCAACAAGUGGACUGAAAAAAAGCACCCAGUGAGAAAUUAAAGUCGCACGAGACAAGCUAAAAAAAAAAAAAGAAAAAAGGAACAUGAGCAUCCUUACAAACAAAUAUUAGUGACGCAACAACAAACCAACUGCAAAGGCAAAAAAAAAAAAAAAAA